rnacentral:rRNA from 1 species
UGGCUGCCAUGAUUAUUUUAUGGCUGCGGUAUUUUGACCGUACAAAGGUAGCAUAGUCAUUUGUCUUUUAAUUGAAGGCUUGAAUGAAGGGUCGGACGAGAAUUAUUCUUUCUUAAAUAUAAUUUAUUGAAUUUAAUUUUUUAGUUAAAAAGCUAAAAUUUUUUUAUAGGACGAGAAGACCCUAUAGAACUUUACAUUUUUAUUUAUAAUAAUUAUUUGGUUUAUUUUUAAUUUUUAUAAUUUAAUUUGUUUUGUUGGGGUGACAUUAAAAUUUUUAUAACUUUUAUUUCUUUUUUUCAAUAAUUAUUGUUUUUUUGAUCCAUAAAUUUUGAUUAUAAGAUUAAGUUACUUUAGGGAUAACAGGAAGCUUUUUUUAACAUAUG